GAUCGACGGAGCAGCACGCAUUCGUCGCCGCCGCCGCCGCCGCCCCCGCCGCCGCAAAGCACCUCCUCCUGUGCUCCAUGCCUGCUACCGCUUCCUCAAGUCCUCCGACUCCGAGCGGGCGUUUCCCGCCCCGAUUCGGAGUCUCACCCUUCGACUUCUGAUUUGAUUCCGUGUUGGAGGGAGGGAGGGAGGGAGGGAGCUGCGACCGCAUUUGCAAAGCAACCGAGACCCAAUGGAACAAGAAGACGAAUCAGCAGCAGCUGCAGCGGAGCAGCAGGCGGGAGGAGCAGAGGAGCAGCUUGCCGAAGAUCUCCUCCACCACUUCGAGCAGGUUUGCGUCUUAAAUGUUUUGCUGAACUGACUGCAAUAAGCCAAGAAGAAUGAUGAGCUGCAAUUGUGCGCGCUGAUCCUUUCCUACUCACCGAAGAACGAGAGCACAUGGAGCCAUAGGUACAGCUCUUGUGCUUGUAAAAGAACUAAACCAGCGUGCCUGUCUGCUUGAUAAAGUUCACCUACCUCUAUCUAUUUGGAGCUGGAUUUCCUUGGGCACCAAAUUAUUAUGCUGAUUUGGAUAACAAUGAAAGAAUGUUGCGUUUAAAAGUUAAUGUCUGCCGCAGGAGAUGGGUGUUAAAACAAGUUGCGGAGCAACAUCAAGAUAUGGCAGAGCUUGUAGAGAAGGAAUCUGUACUUGUGAAAGAGAUAACAGAGAGGUUAAAGAUUAACUAGUAACUACCCUGCAUGGAGACAUCGAUGACGGCUUGUUCCUUACAUGACAAGAAAAUAGGUCCGGAUAAAUGAUUCAGACUGAUAAAAAAAUUCCUUACCUAUCAUUCUUAAUCUUGUAACUGGACUUCCUAGCACUACCAUGAAGAGCAAAGCUUUAAUCUUGGCCAUCACUGUUACGAUUUUGUUGAAACAUACAUAAUGUCUCCUCGUCAGUUACCAUGAGGAGCAUUUAAUUUCUGUUUCUGAAGGUGCUGGAUGAACAGAAAUCAACAAGAUGGAGUGAGCAACAUGUUGCUGAUAAUUAUUGCUUUCACUACCGCCGGUACCUGCUGCUUGCACCACUGGACAGUCGCCUGGGGAACGGAGAGGAUUCCUUCAGUUGUGAAUCAGAAAUUUGCCUGUUAUGGAAGGCCAUGGCUAGUUGAUACCAACCAU